ACACACAUUGCCAAUCCGUGCAUUCAGAAUCUAUGAAAAUACAUAUAUGUGUGGGAGUGUUUUCCAUAUUAUCAGUGUCUGGGUGGCACACGGGCGGUGGUCAGGCGGCCGUCACCUUGCCGAGGCGCGUGACACUAAUGAGCCCGCGUCAGGCUACGUCAUGGAGCGAGCCACCAUUAUCAUAUAGAUUCGCCGGCUCUAUUACUUUGCACACCAAAUUUGCAUACAGCGAGCGACGCGAAUGUAGCAUAAGAAAAUUUGCAUCUAGUGUGUAUUUGCCUCGUUUGUGACCUGUGACCACAUAAAUAUGUAUGUUUGAAAAUACAAUAUCGUAUGGAUAAUGUAGAAACUCCUUUGAUGUCAAUUGAAAAGGUUUGACAUCAAACGCAUUGGUUACGUUGCUGUAUAAAUUAUAGGUAAACAGUGGUUAUGUUUUCCUUGAGAAAAAAAAAAUUGCGAGAGGAAAAUGAACAACCAUGAAUACUGAAUGAGUUUUAACCAUAAGCAAAGACUGACGCAAUGUUGUUUUAUGCUGAAUAAUUUUUCUCAUCUAGAAUCUGUCAGCCUUGUAGACUACAUCACAACACUAGUAAACCUGAGGUUGUAACAAGAGUACAGAACGUCAUCCUCAGAACUACGUAUGAGCAGUACAUUUCGGUAACAAACGUCGUUUGAGCUCUCAUUCGGAGAUUCCGAAUUAUUAUAAUCGUUUAUAUAUAACGAAAAUGAUCUGCUAAUUCAGGGGUACAGAACAUUAAUUCAGGUCUGUAUAUUAGAUUAUACGUGAAACAUAUGAGCCGAAGAUGAGGGAUGACGAAGCUGAUCGAAGUUUCUAGAUCCACACAGCACCCGUAAAUCGAGGUUACCGGCAGUGGUGUCAGUGUGCGCGGCGCGGCAUAAUUGUAGAUUUACUGUUUUAUUCCCUUUGCUAUCCUAUAUUUGUACUUGGACGCUGCCAGAACAAGCUCUAGUCAUCCCUGCUGCCUUGAAACUUGGUGCUACUAUUACGAUGGACUGUUGGAGGAAUUAAGCGUCAGGAAUUACCGCAGUUUGACGAGCGUGCUAAUACGAGAGCCGACAGGUGCUAGGAUGGGAUUUGCGUGGUGAUGAGCGUCUGUCAGGCUGAGGUGCCGCCGUGACCAGAAAAAAAAAAGUAAGAGGAAAGGUCCAGGUGACGGCUGCUGGUGGACGCGCACCCUUCACCAGACACUCCAGACGCAGCAUGUGUCCCUCCUGCACCUCCACCACGCCCCCGUCACCCACGCCCACGAUGCUGAUGCUGCUGUGGACGUGGUGCUGGGUGCUGUGGCAAGACUGGCGAGGCUGCGGCCAAGCUGUGUCUAGUCUGCGUCGCUUCCCACGCUGCACAUUAACGAUAUUGGCAUUCUGGUCGCUUGCUUUGCUCGGUCGUUCAAGAUCUGCAUUUCUCUGAUCCUGGACGCAGCCUGUGCCGAUCCCUGCCGCCUGUAUGGGGCCGCUGCCUGGCGUGAAGCUGAUCCCUUGAAGCCAGACCAGGGCGGUUUGUGGGUAUAUGUCACGGGAAGGCCAGACGUGUAUGGGUGUUUCUUCAAGCCUAGGCCUGUAUUCUAAAACUAUCUACUCUCACCACGACUAUUUUCUAAGGCCACAGAGAUGAUUAGCCGGGUUCUGAAGAGAGUUUCUCCAGUUAAUAAUGUAGAAAUUUUGUUAAUCUGCCACUACAAUCAUAAAACACCAUUUAUAUUACAACUUUGCAUACUAAAGCUAAGUCAACAUUAAUUGUAAUAAGAGGUACUGAAAGGUUUUCUUCAUUUUCAGAUCUCUUGACUUUUUUUGUCACCUCUAUUACUUCCCCAAAAAUUGCUAAACUACUCCCAAGGGAUAAUUUACCCACAGUUUGGGAACCACUGUCUUUGAAGAUUCCAUAAAAAUACUGAAUCUGUGUUACUGUGACCAGAGGCUUUUGAAAAUAGUGAAGGUGCAGCCAGAAGUUUUUCAGAAUAUGGAAGCGAGUGUCACCCGCGGCAGACUCCCUUGAGUUUAAUGCAGCGUGGCAGGUCGUGCUGAGUGUAAUGCAGGGCGCCACGUCGUGCUGAGUGGUGCCAUUGCCGCGGGUUGGUACUGGUGGCGCGGCACAUCCCCUGCUGGCCUUUGGGAUUUCACUACUCGCUUACUUGCUCUUGGAGAAUGUUUGUUUUUUUCCUAAUUAAUCGAGAUUUUCCUUACUUGUACUGUUACGUUAACUAUACAAUGUGUGUUUACAUGGGCGAUGUAUUUGAUAAGUAUUUUGUUCAUAGAACUCCCAAAUAAAAAUGUUUUCAUGUACAUAACAUUCAGGAACACAAGUAACAAAUGAAGACAAAUGAAAGAAAGAUGUUUAGCGUAAAAUGUUGAGAUACUCAGAGCCUCGAAACACACACACACACACACACACACACACACACACACACACACACACACACACACACACACACACACACACACACACACACACACACACUUAAAAGAGAAUGCAUUACGAAUUUGACUUUCCUUUAAAAAAUGAUAAAAAAGAUAAAUCACCAAAAAAGAGAAAUAAAGAUAAAAAGAAAGCAAAAAGAUGAUAAUUGGUAAAUACACACGCUCACACCAAAGUUCAUUUUAGUUAAUAGUAAUGCUGCAAUAUUAGUCCUUGAAUUGCAGCCAUUAGAGUAAUUAUUGCUCAAA